UCCUCCACAUCGAAAGGAGCCAGUUGAGAUGGGAAGACUAGCAUGGCCCCUGCGAAAGAAUGACAGACAAAUCCGUGAAACACUCCAUAUUUUU
ensembl:snRNA U6 U6 spliceosomal RNA